rnacentral:rRNA from 1 species
ACCCUGGUAGUCCACGCCGUAAACGAUGGGCGCUAGGUGUGGGAGGUGUCGACUCCUCCCGUGCCGAAGCUAACGCAGUUAAGCGCCCCGCCUGGGGAGUACGGCCGCAAGGCUAAAACUCAAAGGAAUUGACGGGGACCCGCACAAGCAGCGGAGCAUGUGGUUUAAUUGGAUGCGACGCCAAGAACCUUACCAAGGCUUGACAUGGUCGGGAAAGCUGGAGAAAUUCAGCCCUCCUUCGGGACUCGAUCACAGGUGGUGCAUGGCUGUCGUCAUCUCGUGUCGUGAGAUGUUGGGUUAAGUCCCGCAACGAGCGCAACCCCUGUCCUAUGUUGCCAGCGAGUAAUGUCGGGGACUCAUGGGAGACUGCCGGUGACAAAUCGGAGGAAGGUGGGGAUGACGUCAAGUCAGCAUGCCCCUUAUGUCUUGGGCUACACACGUGCUACAUUGGCCGGUACAAAGGGCUGCAAAACCGCGAGGUUGAGCGAAUCCCAAAAAGCCGGUCCCGGUUCGGAUUGGAGGCUGCAACUCGCCUCCAUGAAGGCGGAGUUGCUAGUAAUCGCGGAUCAGCAAUGCCGCGGUGAAUACGUUCCCGGGUCUUGUACACACCGCCCGUCACACCACGAAAGUUGGCAACACCCGAAGCCGGUGGGCUAACCCGCAAGGGAGGCAGCCGUCUAAGGUGGGGUUGAUGAUUGGGGUGAAGUCGUAACAAGGUAAC